UUUUGCUUGUAAUUAAUUUAAGGAUUAAUUGCAUACAGGUCCCCGCAAAUAUAGUGAAUUAUAGAUAUAUUCCUACAAAGUUCAACUUUCAUUAGUUAUUCCUACAAAAUUUCUAAUGUAUUUAGAUAUGUUCCUGCCAUUAGAAUCCGUUAAAAAAAUAUAGUUAAUCACAAUUAAAAUACUUAACCAGAAUUAAUUAAUAAGAUAAAUUGAUAAUUUUAUCCUUUAUCUUCUUCCUCUUCCUCUUCGUCUUCAUCUUCUUCCUUUUCCUCUUCGUCUUCUUUUUCUUCUCUUCCUUUUCUCCUCCUUCUUCUUCCUUUUUCUUUUCCUCCUCUUUCUUCGAAUCAGCCGCACCUUCGCCCUUCGUCUCGUCGCUGCGGGCCUCAGCCUUGUCCUUACCGGCCGCAACUCCAACAAACUCCACGCCGCCGCUGCCGCCGCCGCCAUCCGCUUCCGCAGCUCAAAAAGGAAGAGAAAAAGGAAAAUGGAGAUUUGUGAGGGCAUUUCUGCAAAUGUAUACCAGCUGGAGUUUUAGAGGGACAUAUUUAUAAGGGUAAAAAUGUCAUUUUACGAAUCUACUGUUAAAAAUUAAACCGUUCUUUAACGGAUGCUAACCAGAGGGACAUAUCUGAAUAUAUUAGAAAUUUUGCAGGGAUAGCUUACGAAAGUUGAACUUUGCAGGAAUAUAUCUACAAUUUACCAUGUUUGCGGAGAUCUGUAUGCAAUUAACCCUUAAUUUAAAUUCAACAAUUAAAAUACAUAAAUUUAUGUAGCAACUUGUCAUAU
rnacentral:lncRNA from 1 species